rnacentral:rRNA from 1 species
GGAAUAUUGGACAAUGGUCGAAAGCCUGAUCCAGCCAUGCCGCGUGUGUGAAGAAGGUCUUCGGAUUGUAAAGCACUUUAAGUUGGGAGGAAGGGUAGUAACUUAAUACGUUGCUACUUUGACGUUACCGAAAGAAUAAGCACCGGCUAACUUCGUGCCAUCAGCCGCGGUAAUACGAAGGGUGCAAGCGUUAAGCGGACUUACGGGGCGUAAAGCGCGCGUAGGUGGUUCAGUAAGUUGGAAGGGAAAUCCCCGGGCUCAACCUGGGAACUGCUUUCAAAACUGCUGAGCUAGAGUACGGUAGAGGGUGGUGGAAUUUCCUGUGUAGCGGUGAAAUGCGUAGAUAUAGGAAGGAACACCAGUGGCGAAGGCGACCACCUGGACUGAUACUGACACUGAGGUGCGAAAGCGUGGGGAGCAAAC